UUCCGGUUGAUCCCGCCGGACCCGACCGCUAUCGGGGUAGGGCUAAGCCAUGGGAGUCGAACGCCCCGCCGCUGCGGGGCGUGGCGAACGGCUGAGUAACACGUGGCUAACCUACCCUCGGGACGGGGAUAACCCCGGGAAACUGGGGCUAAUCCCCGAUAGGCGGGGAGGCCUGGAAUGGUUCCCCGCCGAGAGGGGCCGCCGGGGGUUUAUCGCCGGCGGUCCGUCCGAGGAUGGGGCUGCGGCCCAUCAUGGUAGUUGGCGGGGUAAUGGCCCGCCAAGCCGUCGACGGUUAGGGGCCGUGAGAGCGGGAGCCCCCAGAUGGGCACUGAGACAAGGGCCCAGGCCCUACGGGGCGCACCAGGCGCCAAAACUCCGCAAUGCGGGCAACCGUGACGGGGCUACCCCGAGUGCUCCCCUUAAGGGGGCUUUUCCCCCCUGUAGGUAGGCGGGGGAAUAAGCGGGGGGCAAGACUGGUGUCAGCCGCCGCGGUAAUACCAGCCCCGCGAGCGGUCGGGGUGCUUACUGGGCCUAAAGCGCCCGUAGCCGGCUCGGCAAGUCUCCCCCUAAAGCCCCGGGCUCAACCCGGGGAGUGGGGGAGAUACUGCCGGGCUAGGGGGCGGGAGAAGGCCGAGGGUACUCCCGGGGUAGGGGCGAAAUCCACUAAUCCCGGGAGGACCAUCAGUGGCGAAGGCGCUCGGCUGGAACGCGCCCGACGGUGAGGGGCGAAAGCCGGGGGAGCGAACCGGAUUAGAUACCCGGGUAGUCCCGGCUGUAAACGAUGCGGGCUAGGUGUUGGGCGGGCGAUAGGGCCCGCCCAGUGCCGCAGGGAAGCCGUUAAGCCCGCCGCCUGGGGAGUACGGCCGCAAGGCUGAAACUUAAAGGAAUUGGCGGGGGAGCACCACAAGGGGUGGAGCCUGCGGCUUAAUUGGAGUCAACGCCGGGAACCUCCACCGGGGGCGACAGCAGGAUGACGGCCAGCCUGAAGGGCUUGCCCGACGCGCUGAGGGGAGGUGCAUGGCCGUCGCCAGCUCGUGCCGUGAGGUGUCCUGUUAAGUCAGGCAACGAGCGAGACCCCCGCCCCUAGUUGCAACCCCAGGGGGGACCCGGGGGGCACACUAGGGGGACUGCCGCCGCUAAGGCGGAGGAAGGAGGGGGCAACGGCAGGUCAGCAUGCCCCUAAACCCCCGGGCUGCACGCGGGCUACAAUGGCGGGGACAGCGGGUUUCCGACCCCGAAAGGGGGAGGCAAUCCCUCAAACCCCGCCUCAGUUGGGAUCGAGGGCUGCAACUCGCCCUCGUGAACGUGGAAUCCCUAGUAACCGCGCGUCAUCAUCGCGGGGUG
rnacentral:rRNA from 1 species